rnacentral:rRNA from 1 species
GACGUAGGGGGCGAGCGUUGUCCGGAAUUACUGGGCGUAAAGAGCACGUAGGCGGGAACCUAAGUCAGGUGUGAAAGACCGUGGCUCAACCACGGGGUGGCAUUUGAAACUGGGUUUCUUGAGGGCAGGAGAGGAAAGCAGAAUUCCUGGUGUAGCGGUGAAAUGCGUAGAAAUCAGGAGGAAUACCAGUGGCGAAGGCGGCUUUCUGGACUGACCCUGACGCUGAGGUGCGAAAGCGUGGGUAGCAAACAGGAUUAGAAACCCUAGUAGUCC